rnacentral:rRNA from 1 species
UGGCGGCGUGCCUAAUACAUGCAAGUCGAGCGUAAGGCUUUACACAGUUUGCUUAAAUGGUCUUUGACCACUCUUUAUCUGGCUAGAUAAAUGAGUUUGAGCGAAGUGUGUAGAGUACACGAGCGGCGGACGGCUGAGUAAUGCAUUGGAACGUACCCCAAACUGAGGGAUAAUUCACCGAAAGGUGGACUAAUACCGCAUGUGCCAUUCGUGGUAAAGCUACGGCGGUUUGGGAGCGGCCAAUGUUCGAUUAGCUAGUUGGUGAGGUAAUAGCUCACCAAGGCUACGAUCGAUAGCGGGUCUGAGAGGAUGAUCCGCCAGACUGGAACUGAGACACGGUCCAGACUCCUACGGGAGGCAGCAGUAGGGAAUUUCCACAAUGGGGGCAACCCUGAUGGAGCAACGCCGCGUGCAGGAUGAAGGCCCUCGGGUCGUAAACUGCUUUUCUCUGUGAUGAUUAUGACAGUAGCAGAGGAAUAAGGAUCGGCUAACUCCGUG